rnacentral:rRNA from 1 species
UUACGGUCAAAUCACGCUGAAAACACCGGUUCUCAUUCGAUCACGAAGUUAAGCAUCGUGAGCCAGGUCAGUACUUAGAUGGGGACCGCUUGGGAACACCUGGUACUGUAAG